rnacentral:rRNA from 1 species
AGAGUUUGAUCAUGGCUCAGAUUGAACGCUGGCGGAAUGCUUUACACAUGCAAGUCGAACGGCAGCAUAGGUGCUUGCACCUGAUGGCGAGUGGCGAACGGGUGAGUAAUACAUCGGAACGUGCCCGGUCGUGGGGGAUAACGUAGCGAAAGUUACGCUAAUACCGCAUACGAUCUACGGAUGAAAGCGGGGGACCGUAAGGCCUCGCGCGAUUGGAGCGGCCGAUGUUAGAUUAGGUAGUUGGUGGGGUAAAGGCUCACCAAGCCGACGAUCUAUAGCUGGUCUGAGAGGAUGAUCAGCCACACUGGGACUGAGACACGGCCCAGACUCCUACGGGAGGCAGCAGUGGGGAAUUUUGGACAAUGGGCGCAAGCCUGAUCCAGCCAUUCCGCGUGCAGGACGAAGGCCUUCGGGUUGUAAACUGCUUUUGUACAGAACGAAAAGCUCUGGGUUAAUACCCUGGGGUCAUGACGGUACUGUAAGAAUAAGCACCGGCUAACUACGUGCCAGCAGCCGCGGUAAU